CGGGUGAGUAACACGUGGGUAACCUACCUAUAAGACUGGGAUAACUUCGGGAAACCGGAGCUAAUACCGGAUAAUAUUUCGAACCGCAUGGUUCGAUAGUGAAAGGUGGUUUUGCUAUCACUUAUAGAUGGACCCGCGCCGUAUUAGCUAGUUGGUAAGGUAACGGCUUACCAAGGCGACGAUACGUAGCCGACCUGAGAGGGUGAUCGGCCACACUGGAACUGAGACACGGUCCAGACUCCUACGGGAGGCAGCAGGC
rnacentral:rRNA from 1 species